UGGGGGAUCCAUGACGGGGGGAUGGAGGGGACGUGGGAUGGGAUACAUGUUACAGGCAUGUAGGGGGAUCUAUGAGGGACCUAUGGGGGUUCCAGAGAGAAUUCAGGAGGAGGGAGGAAUCCAUGAGUUGGGCACGAUCAAGAGAGAUCUGGGGGAAAUCGGGAUGGGAGGAAUUCGUUGAGGCGAAGUAUCUAGGAGGAUCUGUGGGCGGGGAUCCAUGUGGGGUCGGGGGAGGGGGGGGGCGGCAGAAUCCAGAGACUGGGAAUCCAUGGAUCAAGGGAAUUCAUGGCGGGGCAUCCCUGGACAGGAGGGUCAAUAGGGAUCCAAGACGGGAUCCAUUGCAGGGCUCAUGUCGGGCUCCAUGGGGAGAGGAUGGGAGGGGGAGACCCAGCACAGGGGUCCGUGGGAAGAUCCAGGGGGACCUCGAGGAAGGAUAUAGAUACAGGUCCGUUGGAAGAUCCAGCGCGGGCAGGUGUGUCCAGGGGUGGGGGAUCCAUGUGGGAUCCGGGGAAAUAUACGGGGGAUCCAGAGCGGGUCGAGAUCCAUGGGGAGGAGAUCCAGAGCCGGGGGUGAGGUGGGGCAAGAUCCAGCAGGGGAGUCAGGGUGGGAUAGAGGGAGAGAUCCAUGCUGGGGGAUCUGGGGAAGGGGGAGGUGGGGGUGAGGUGGGGGUGGAUGGAGGGGGGUCCAUGAGAAAUUCGUGGGGGGAGUCCAUGGGGGCUCCGGAGGGGUGCUUGGGGGCGGCAGUGUCAGGAUCCGUGGGGAGGGGAUCAGGGAUAACCCACCGAGGGGGCUCGUGGGGACAUCCGAGGAGAGCCGAGGAGGGCUAUAGAGAGGGAUCCGUGGGGGAUCCACGGGGUCAGGGCGUCCAUGUGGGAUCCAUGAGAAAUCCGAGGAGGGGAUGUUCCGUGGGGGACUGGGGGGGGGGGUGUCCAUGGGGUUUCCCCGGCUCAGGCUCCGGUGCCGGUUCCAGGUGCCGCGUCUCGGCAGCCGAGCGGCACCGGGGGCAGCGGGGACCGGGCGGGGCCGUCCCCAGGGACCGAGCGGGGCUGGGGCGGCCCCGCACCCGCCUGUCCGGGCCGGGG
rnacentral:lncRNA from 1 species